CCUCCCAUGCCCUUUUACAAUGACGCAGGCUCCCUGCUUCCAUAUUUUUGUCGUGUUGGCUGCAUGUUUGUUCAUUUUGUCCACUAUGCAAAGUGCAGGUCGGUCAUCUGCUCUUGCAGCUGUGCUUCAUGUUAAAUUUGGGAAACAUGGUGUAGACCCAACGAGAACAAGGCCAACAGCUAUGACACCGCCAAAGCAUGCCAUGAGACGCACCCCGCCGACCCUUCCAAUGCGACAACAGAAAAUAAAGAAAGGUGGUAAAAGGAACCAAAAGCGAAGGAUCAGAAGGAGGCAGCCAUCUCUUUGAUUGUUCGCCUUGAAGUAAUUAUUUAAGGGUCUCAACCAUUUCAGGCAUUUUGCUGCACUUCCCCGUCUACUGGAAACACAGUUGUCAAUAAAUAUAUAUGA